UUAUUUGAGCAACGGGAUAAAUAUGAAUGCAUAUGAAUAUUUAGACGUUGGCGAAAUGAUCAUAGGAUUUUUAAUCAGAUAAAUGUUAUACAGUUUUUAGAGUAUUAACUCUAAAAAAUGUAAAUUUAUAUUGACAUUUUAAACAAAAAAUGUUAUUAUAAUACUUGUUCAGCAAAGAACAAAAUAAUCUAGUUACUAUAGCAAAGAGGAUACACCUGUUCCCAUUCCGAACACAGAAGUUAAGCUCUUUAGCGCCGAUGGUACUUGGUGGGAAGCUGCCUGGGAGAGUAGGACGUAGCUAGGUGAUGUGCCGAAGUGGCGGAACUGGCAGACGCACAGGACUUAAAAUCCUGCGGGACUUACCUCUCGUACCGGUUCGAUUCCGGUCUUCGGCACCAUUUUAAAUAAUAUCGCGGGGUGGAGCAGUUGGCAGCUCGUCGGGCUCAUAACCCGAAGGUCGCAGGUUCGAGUCCUGCCUCCGCAACCAUUAAAAUAAUAAUAUGGCUCAUUGGUCAAGCGGUCAAGACACCGCCCUUUCACGGCGGUAACAGGGGUUCGAUUCCCCUAUGAGUCACCAAUUAAAUAUGCGGGUGUAGCUCAAUGGUAGAGUUCCGGCCUUCCAAGCCGGCUGUGAGGGUUCGAUCCCCUUCACCCGCUCCAAAUUAUGGGACUAUAGCUCAGCUGGGAGAGCACCUGCCUUACAAGCAGGGGGUCACAGGUUCGAGCCCUGUUAGUCCCACCAAUUGCGGCCUGGUAGUUCAGCUGGUUAGAAUGCCAGCCUGUCACGCUGGAGGUCGAGGGUUCGAGUCCCUUCCAGNAAAAGUUUCUAUCGAGAUUAAAGGUGCCCGUACCGCAAACCGACACAGGUGGGUGAGGAGAGUAUCCUAAGGCCAGCGAGAGAACUGUUGUUAAGGAACUCGGCAAAAUGACCCCGUAACUUAGGGAGAAGGGGUGCCACGUUAGGGUUAACGCCCGAGGUGGCCGCAGAGAAUAGGCCCAAGCGACUGUUUACCAAAAACACAGGUUUCUGCUAAGUCGCAAGACGAUGUAUAGGAGCUGACGCCUGCCCGGUGCUGGAAGGUUAAGGGGAUCUGUUAGGAUUUAUCCGAAGCAGUGAACUUAAGCCCCAGUAAACGGCGGCCGUAACUAUAACGGUCCUAAGGUAGCGAAAUUCCUUGUCGGGUAAGUUCCGACCCGCACGAAAGGCGUAACGAUUUGGGCACUGUCUCAACAACAGACUCGGUGAAAUUGUAAUCCCGGUGAAGAUGCCGGGUACCUGCGACAGGACGGAAAGACCCCAUGGAGCUUUACUGUAGCUUGACAUUGAAUUUUGGUGCUACAUGUACAGGAUAGGUGGGAGGCUAUGAAGUCGGGACGCCAGUCUCGGCGGAGCCAUCCUUGGGAUACCACCCUUGUAGUACUGAGAUUCUAACCAGAUACCUUGAAUCAGGUAUUGGGACACUGUCAGGUGGGCAGUUUGACUGGGGCGGUCGCCUCCCAAAGAGUAACGGAGGCGCUCAAAGGUUCUCUCAGCACGGUCGGAAAUCGUGCGUAGAGUGUAAAGGCAGAAGAGAGCUUGAUUGCAAGACAUACAGGUCGAGCAAGGACGAAAGUCGGACUUAGUGAUCCGGUGGUUCCGCAUGGAAGGGCCAUCGCUCAACGGAUAAAAGCUACCCUGGGGAUAACAGGCUUAUCUCCCCCAAGAGUCCACAUCGACGGGGAGGUUUGGCACCUCGAUGUCGGCUCAUCACAUCCUGGGGCUGUAGUAGGUCCCAAGGGUUGGGCUGUUCGCCCAUUAAAGUGGUACGCGAGCUGGGUUCAGAACGUCGUGAGACAGUUCGGUCCCUAUCCGUCGCAGGCGUAGGAAAUUUGAGGAGACCUGUCCUUAGUACGAGAGGACCGGGAUGGACGUACCUCUGGUGUACCAGUUGUUCUGCCAAGGGCAUGGCUGGGUAGCUAUGUACGGAAUGGAUAAGCGCUGAAAGCAUCUAAGCGCGAAGCCAACUUCAAGAUAAGAUUUCCCACCGUAAGGGUAAGAUCCCAGGAAGACUACCUGGUUGAUAGGUCAAAGGUGUAAGUGCAGCAAUGCAUGUAGCUUAUUGAUACUAAUAGAUCGAGGACUUGACCAA
rnacentral:rRNA from 1 species